CCAAUUUUACAAGACCACAGAACAUCCCUCUACCUACUCCCACCAAAUCUGGACUAAACCCGAAAAGAUAUCAAAGGAACAUAGCUUUUUAUUAAGUGUGAGUUAAUCCAUGAACGAUAGCUUCAAUCAGCAGUAAUUUUCUUAACAUAAUUCAUGCCUGAGUAUUAUAUUCAGUUUAGCUGGACAUCUAUGGCACACCAUAAGCCAAAUUUUGAAGAUUAUUCAUGUUAGAAUUGGAUUCAGUCGAUCCUUAGUGACUUAACAAUCAGGCCUUAAUUGAAACACACACACACAUUGUUAUUGACAGUAUAGAAAUACUGACUCAUAGAAAAAUUCACCCAUAUUUAGUUAGCAGACUAACAGCAUGCUUCUGUGUGUUGCUAGCAACAAGAAACCAUGACAGCAAGGCCCCAAACAGGAACCUCCUGCAUUUUCUCAUCUGUGAUGAGGCACACCGAUGCUGGGGAUUAAUGAGCCUGAAGAUAUAAAGCAGUGUUUACCAUUGGAAAAUGUCUCCUACACUAAAAGCAGAGGUAAGGUAAUUUAAAUUUAGUCAUCCAUCAAGGACCAUCAAAUUAUUGUUUACUGAGUGCACAGGAUCCUGAUGAGCUCUGUGGGAAAUGAAACCCAGAUGUGGGGAAUUCUAGGUCCAUAGUUGCUGCUCUCAGUGGGAUGGCAGGCCAGCAGGAUCACUAGGCAUAUUCUACCCAUAUUCAGAAAGCUCAUUAAGAAUUUACUGCUUUAGCUGGUACUGAUUAUUCACUGUAUUUGUCUGCCCUCUAGUGAUUGUAGAACAAAGUCUAAGGAAAAAUUACCAGAGAGGAUACAACCUAGAUUCCAAGAAAAGUGAAUUGAAGGUGC
rnacentral:lncRNA from 1 species